rnacentral:lncRNA from 10 species
ACUUUCUGAGAAAGUCUGAAGCUGGUCUUCUGCAGGCACACGAAGCCAUCAAAAUCAAACCCCAGAACUUGCCAGUCAAGAUGAAAAACUUCUUCUAAUGGAAUCCAGCUUGAAAGCUACUCAAGAGCAGCUAACUGAGCAAAUAGCAGAAACAGUUCGCCAAGAACAGAACAGUAGAAAACCCCAGGCAGAGCUGAAGACAGUGACAGAAGGGAUUAUUGCUUCUGAAGAAGAAAAAAAAUGAUUACAAACUGUCCUCACACUGUCACCCAGGCUGGAGUGCACUGGCGCGAUCUCGGCUCACUGCAACCUCUGCCUCCUGGGUUCAAGCGAUUCUCCUGCCUUAGCCGUGAUGUUCAGUUUCUAAUACUAAUCACCUAUUUUACCGUCUUUUACAACUUCGUUGUAGGAGGUGUGAAAGAGGAGGGAAAUUGUGUUGGAAGAGGAGAUUAGGACAUCAAGAGACACCAAGAGUAACCAUGUACAGAGAAAAACAUCAUAUGAAGACACAGCAAGAAGGUGGCCAUCUGUAAGCCAAAGAGAGGCCUCAGAAGAAACCAAAUCUGCUAACACAAUCAUGGACUUUCAGCCUCCAGGACUGUGUGAAAAUAAAUUUCUGCUGUUUAAGCCACCCCAGUGUCUGGAAUUCUAUGGCAGCCCUAGCAAAUAAAUACAACUACUAUCAGUAUUAUUUGUCUUUUUAUAUUACUCUACAGUGUCAAGCCAAAUUUAAUUUUUAAAAUAAUGAUAUCUCAUAUCCACUUAAGCUAAAUAGGGCCCAGGAUUUCAUUCUUGGGUAUAUAUCUAAGAAAAAUGUAUGCUGAUAUUCACUAUAAAUAUAUUCAUACCAGCUUUAUUCAUAAUAGCCCCAAACUGGAAACAACUGAAAUGCCCAUCAUGAAAUAGGAUAAAUAAAUUGUGGUAUGUUCACACAGUGGAAUAUAAUACAGCUCUAAUGGAAAAACAAAAGCUGAUACAUGAAAGAAACAGGAUGAAUCUCAAAAUAGAUUUUUUAAAUUUUUUUAACUUUUGUGGGUAAUAGUUGGUAUGUGCAUUUAUGGGGUACAUGAGAUAUUUUGAUACAGGC